UUCCAAAUAGUUAUAUACUUCAAACUUGUUCAGGAAUAGAUAAUGAAAUAUUAGCUUUUAUGUGCAACAUAUUAUAUAUACCAUAGGUAUUCAUCAAAACAACCAAAAUAAUAUCGUUGUGACUACAGCUUUUAAAGCAUUCCAAAAGAGCCUACUAACAAAAGAGGGAACAUUAUCCUAUUUGAUUAGGAAGUGAAUUAACAAAAACAAGUUCCAUACUAAAUUGUCUAAAAGAGAUUGAUUAAGGAACAAAUUUCAUCAACCCAAAAGUCAGCAGCAUCAUCUUUUCAUAAAUCUAUUUAAUCUUUAUGGACAUAAAUUCCAGCAACAGAAGUUUGGGAUGAGAACAUCACAGUGCCAAGUCUACUGUUUUGUUUUUGAAUCUAGUACAAAAAGUUUAACUAUCAAUACUAAUUACAUGCUUAAAUUUAGCACCAAAAAAAAAAAAG
rnacentral:lncRNA from 1 species